GCCGCCUUAGCUCAGCUAGUAGAGCAACCGAUUCGUAAUCGGUAGGUCCCCAGUGCAAUUCUGGGAGGCGGCUCCA
rnacentral:tRNA from 1 species